GCACUACUGACGAGUCCUAAACAGAACGGAACAGCUGUCCGGUGU
rnacentral:hammerhead_ribozyme from 1 species